CCUAUAAUACGCUUUUCACGCGUGCAGAUUUCUAAUAGUGACCAUCAUCACAUCAUCCCAUCUCUCACUCUUUCAAAACAUAGCGAUAGCCACAUACGAUCUUCUUUCUCCUCUUCUCUCCUCUCUACCACGCUCCCAAAGACCGAACCAUAGGAGACAAUCUCCAACCACUCCCCUCUGAGCAACCAUCUCCUGCAUCCGCGCAACAGUGGAGGUCAGCACGAAUUUUGGGAUAGGGAUGCAAACUUUUCAAACUUCAUCUCAAUUUUGCCUUUUUCUUCAGUUUUAGUUUCAAAUCAGGAGGUUCAAGUCCACAUUUCGCCUUUAAAAAGGGGUAUUCUUCAAUCCCAGAGAACAAGUGGAAAAAUUGGGAGAAAGGGUAGUGGAGGAACAAGUGAUAAUAAAGAAAACGGAAGGUGAAAGAAAAAGAAAAUCAAGGAAGAGUGAAAAGUAGUGUAAAAAAAAAGUAAAAAUAGAUCAAAUUAGAUCGCAUACGUUCGGAAUUCUUGGAGUUGAAUUCGCCGUCGAAAAAUCCUUGUCAUUGUAGCUCCAGUUUCGCUGCCCUACACAAGGAGUUGGAGUUCUAUAUCGGAACUCGUCUUUGUCCCAAGCAUCGGGUCAACCGCAUUAGGAUCGCAGAGCUUUGGAGUCCCGCAAAUUAGGAGCCUAAGCUCCUAAAUCGAGUUUAUUAUUCUUUAUCGCCUUUCGAUUUAAUUUAUGUUGUUAUGUUGCGUUUUAUUUUUUUAUUACUAACUCUUGUUGUUAAUUUUACUUACAAUAACUUUAUUUGAUUAUUCAAUAAGUGUAGCUUUGUUCUU